ACUGUAGCUCAGUGGUCAGAGCUCUGUUCUUGUAAACCAAGGGUCGUGAGUUUAUUUUUCAUUAUAUGUA